GAGAAAGUCUGCAAGAACUGCUAAUUCAUGCUCCCAUACAUAAAAGUAUGGCUUUCUUA
rnacentral:tRNA from 1 species